AUAUUGAAAAAUCCCUUGACCAGUACUUGCAUCCCAUAACUGGAAUCCAUCCAAGUAAAUCAUUUCAUGAGCAAUGAAGCAAGUUGAUAAAUAAGAAGAACAUAUCCCCUCCAUAGAACAUCAGAAAUAUACAGGCGAAAACAGAAACAAGCAGCCUGUAACACAUACAUGUGUGGACAUUUAAAGAGAGUGAGUGAUUAACAGGCAGAGGUGACUAUAUGAGACAACAUGAACCAGCAGUACACACUUCAAUAAGUUGACAAACCUCAAGUACCAGAUGUGAAAUAAACCCCCUAGCAUAUUCUUGGAGUUAAUCCAAUUAGUUUUUUAAGAUGCUGUUUGAAACUAUCAAGUCUUAACUCAAUUUUGGAAAAAGCAAAUAUGUAUGUAAGACAAUUAUGGGAGCGAAAAAGUUAUUACAUGUGGAUUAAGCGAGUAUGAACAUUGCUAAUUCAAGAGAAAAAUUCCGAGUGAGACCAUCAACUUGAUUAGGAAACUCAACCUAUUCUAGGCCACAUUUGGUAAAGAUGCAAUGAAGAAUGCAAUGUAAUAUAAUUUAAUGUAAUUGUCUUUUUAUACCCAUAUUUGGUUGCAAAAAUAAAAAUGCAUGUAAUUUAACGCAUGGUUUCAAAUCGCGGUCACGGAUAACAGAAAUAGACCUAUAACGGCCAUAAUUUAAUAGUAUUAUAACAGUAACGGCCUAGUGCUACACAAAUUUUUU
rnacentral:misc_RNA from 1 species